rnacentral:rRNA from 1 species
CACGUAGGGGGCAAGCGUUGUCCGGAAUUAUUGGGCGUAAAGGGCUCGUAGGCGGUUCGUCACGUCGGGAGCGAAAACUCGGAGCUUAACUCCGAGCCUGCUUCCGAUACGGGCAGACUAGAGGUAGGCAGGGGAGAGCGGAACUCCUGGUGUAGCGGUGGAAUGCGCAGAUAUCAGGAAGAACACCGGUGGCGAAGGCGGCUCUCUGGGCCUUACCUGACGCUGAGGAGCGAAAGCGUGGGUAGCGAACAGG